ACAGCGACAGCUGUGGCGCACUGCAAACGCGGCAAUGGUCUCAUCAAGGUGAACGGGCGGCCCCUGGAGAUGAUUGAGCCGCGCACGCUACAGUACAAGCUGCUGGAGCCAGUUCUGCUUCUCGGCAAGGAGCGAUUUGCUGGUGUAGACAUCCGUGUCCGUGUAAAGGGUGGUGGUCACGUGGCCCAGAUUUAUGCUAUCCGUCAGUCCAUCUCCAAAGCCCUGGUGGCCUAUUACCAGAAAUGUGAAUGUGGAUGAGGCUUCCAAGAAGGAGAUCAAAGACAUCCUCAUCCAGUAUGACCGGACCCUGCUGGUAGCUGACCCUCGUCGCUGCGAGUCCAAAAAGUUUGGAGGCCCUGGUGCCCGCGCUCGCUACCAGAAAUCCUACCGAUAAGCCCAUCGUGACU
rnacentral:lncRNA from 1 species